rnacentral:sRNA from 1 species
UUUUUUUUAAAUGAAUCAUUAAAUUCUCUUAAAAAAGCAGAAUAGGGAUAAAAGAUUAAGUAUGAACACUACGCAGUUUGUUGGUUAAAUUCAUCUGAAAUUAUAAGCUAAACCUGGGGGUUACAAAUUAACUUGAUUUAAAGUUUCUAACCAUUACAUGAUAACUAUUUUCACUGAGAGACACAAGUAUUAAUCACACAGAUAUAAUUGUAAUCCAUGUUCAUCUGUUGUUUCCGUCGAAUAACAUCUGAACAUUUUUAAAAUCUCUACGAAUACUACAAACCAAUUUAAUUCAUACUUGAUAUGUAUUAUAAAAAGGGUGAGUGAACUUUUUAAAUUGUAAAUAACCCUUAUUUAUCACUUGGAUAAAAUGUGUAAAUAUUGAUAUACACAUCAUUAUUAGGUAUAUAUAUAUGGGGAAAAAACCAAACUAACACCCCCCCCCCCCAAAAAAAAAACCCACCAAAAACAAACAUAUUAUAUAAGGAUUGGAUAAAUUAUAAAGCUAUUGUCUAUUUUAUAAUUCCAGAGUCAGGAUUCCUAAUUGUGCAUAAAAAACAUGUAGUAAAAAUUUGUAUAUUCAAUGUCUUUUAUUCUCAUUGGCGGUAAGUUUAUAGGCGAUGAUCAGGUGAUCAUUACGAAAAUUUUUAAUUUAUAUAAUCUCAUAAAGUCAGGAACGUUAUGUGAACGUGAAGCUGUGUCGUAAAUUAAAAAAGUAUGUAAAGAAAGUUGUAAUAUCUUAGAUUUAGACAAAAAUAUAAAUCAGCUGAUAUGAUGAUUUAUUUUUAAAUUACAAUUGUAUUUCUUAGGAAGCGCUUGCAAUUUUAAUGAAAAUGAAAUUUACGUCUGUUAUACGUUGUGGAUAACUGUUUUUCUGUUGUGUUGAACUGUUGCAGUGUUGCAUUUAUGAUUCUUUUUAAAACACAUUCAGCACUUCAAGAACAUGGAAAAAUUCUAGCGAACACUGAUGGAUAUUUCAGCAUUUAAAAUUUAGAUUUAAAAUUUGUGAAUCAUUUGAAAUCUUUUAUGUAAAAAGCCGUAGAUUUUAAUUAUUAAAGCACCGUUUGAUUAUUG